rnacentral:rRNA from 1 species
AUUAACAAAAUAAAAUAAAUAUACUACCACGAAAGGGAGCGAGCUAAACAAGUAUGUUUAUUUUAUAAUACGUAGUAUAGUAUUUUCAUAAUAUGUGUUUAGGGGUGAUAGGCUUUUCAAGCUUUCUGAUAGCUUGAUUCAUACGAAAGGUAUUUAGUACAAAAACAUACUUGAAAAGUUAAGCUUUUAAGUAGUUAUCAAAUAUAUUUUUAAAAUUUAAUGUAGUAUAAUAGCUAGUUAGAAAUAAAUUUAAUAUUUUUUAUAUGUUUUUAUAAUAAAUAAUAUGAUAGCAUGAAUUAUUCUUAUGCUUGAUAAUGUUAAUAUUAGUAGUAUAAAUUCAAGUAUGUUAAAGGAACUCGGCAAAUAACUGCUCAACUGUUUAUCAAAAACAUAGCUAUAUGAAUUAAUAUAUAGUUAUUUCUGCUCCAUGAUUAUUAAAUAGCCGCAGUACCCUGACUGUGCAAAGGUAGCAUAAUCAGUUGGCUUUUAAUUAAAGUCUGGUAUGAAUGAAAAUAUGGGUAGUGACUGUCUUUAAUAUAUUAAUUUGAACUUAUUAAGCAAGUGCAAAUACUUGCACGUUUCAAAAAGACGAGAAGACCCUAGAAACUUGGAAUAGUUUUUGUUGGGGCGACAGAAUUACAUUUAACUAAUUUUAAAUACAUGACAUUUAAUUGAAAGAAUAAGUUACUCUAGGGAUAACAGCAUAAUUUUAACAGUUUGUGACCUCGAUGUUGGACUAGGUAUUAUACCCUUAAGGCAAGGAUAUAAAAUGCUCUGUUCGAGCAAUUUUACCUACAUGAUCUGAGUUCAGACCGG